rnacentral:rRNA from 1 species
AGAGACAGCAGCCGCCACGGGAAAACGAAGGGUGCAAGCGUUACUCGGAAUUACUGGGCGUAAAGCGCACGCAGGCGGUCUGUCAAGUCAGAUGUGAAAUCCCCGGGCUUAACCUGGGAACUGCAUUUGAAACUGGCAGGCUAGAGUCUUGUAGAGGGGGGUAGAAUUCCAGGUGUAGCGGUGAAAUGCGUAGAGAUCUGGAGGAAUACCGAUGGCGAAGGCAGCCAUCUGGCCUAAUACUGACGCUGAGAUACGAAAGCAUGGGGAGCAAACAGGAUUAGAUACCCCUGUAGUCCCUGUCUCUUAUAC